rnacentral:pre_miRNA from 1 species
CUGGCUGGCGGCUGGGUGCCUUCUACUGGUGCUGUGCAAAGGCUUUCCCUAAGGCUGCUGUGAGCCUGUAGGGUUUCCCCCUAGGCUACGAAGCUGG